GGCUCCAUCCGAGGUGUGGGGGGGAGGGGGCUGCCUGCCGGCAGUAAGGCGAGAAGGUGCCGCGUCUCCAUUUUGAAGAGGGGGAGAGUGGGAGUCGCAGCCCCCUCGGCGCGGCGGCCCCGCUGCCGUUCUCCCCACGCGGCGGGACACGGCUGCGGUGGAGCCGUGGCACUUUGCACGGAUUACACCGACAGGGCUUUUACUGUUCCAGGGACGCGACUGGAGAUAGAGCAGCGAGAGGUCUCCCAGGUCUGAAGACCUUCAGCAAAGGUCUGAAGGUGUUGAGCCAAGAAGCUGAGCGCGAAGGCAGCCGGGCCCUCUGCCUCACGCCACUUUGUGUACCGGUGUCCGAAAGGCGACCACGGUGCUGCUGUUGGUGUGCCGAGGGGCCUCGAAGGUACUACAGAAUGAUGAAAAAAAUAAAGCAUUUCAAGGAUGUAAAAAUGUCAUCUCUUGAGUGAACAACAGCUUUUACCUCCUCAUCUGAUUCCCACCCUACCAACUGUUUUCAAGAAUGGCUUUUAUGGUAUUUCCUGCAGCUACUUAAGUUUUCCUCAGUAUGGGAAGGUCAUGACUCAUGUGCUUACUCUCUAAAGUAAGGAAUAACAUCUCGGAAUUGUAAUAGUGGAUUGCUUUUGAAUAUAAAUGAAGGAGCCUAA